AACAAACGCUGGCGGCGUGUCUUAAGCAUGCAAGUUGAGCGGCAAGGAGGAGAGAUCCUCCCUAGAGCAGCGGACUGGUGAGUAACGCGUGGGUAAUCUAUCUUAGGCAUGGGGAUAGUCACUAGAAAUAGUGGGUAAUACCGAAUAAGUUCCAUAAGGGGAGGACUUAUGGAAGAAAGGUGCUACGGCACUGGCCUUAGGUGAGCUCGCGUCCCAUUAGCUAGUUGGUGAGGUAAAGGCCCACCAAGGCGAUGAUGGGUAGCCGGCCUGAGAGGGUGUACGGCCACACUGGGACUGAGAUACGGCCCAGACUCCUACGGGAGGCAGCAGCUAAGAAUAUUCCGCAAUGGACGGAAGUCUGACGGAGCGACGCCGCGUGGAUGAAGAAGGCCGAAAGGUUGUAAAGUUCUUUUGCUAGGGGAGAAUAAGUGUGGGAGGGAAUGCCUGCACGAUGACAAGGACUAGCGAAUAAGUCCCGGCCAACUACGUGCCAGCAGCCGAC
rnacentral:rRNA from 1 species